rnacentral:rRNA from 1 species
GAUGAAUGUUUGCGGCGUGCCUAAGGUAUGCAAGUCGAGCGAUCACUUUACUUCGGUUUUGUGAAUAGUGGCAGACGGCUGAGUUACGCGUAGGAACUUUCCCCAAAGUCAAGGAUAGCUACUCGAAAGGGUAAUUAAUCCUGGGUGUGAUCUGCGGAUCAAAGGCUUCGGUCGCUUUGGGAUAGGCCUGCGUCCUAUCAGGUUGUUGGUGAGGUAGAUGCUCACCAAGCCUAUGACGGGUAGCUGGUCUGAGAGGAUGAUCAGCCAGAUUGGGACUGAGACACGGCCCAUACUCCUACGGGAGGCAGCAAUUAAGAAUCUUGCGCAAUGGACGAAAGUCUGACGCAGCGACGCCGCGUGAAGGAUGGCGGCUUUCGGGUUGUAAACUUCUUUCAUUGGGGAACAAGUUCUGAGGGUACCCAAUGAAUAAGGCCCCCCUAACUACGUGCCAGAAGGGUCGGUGAUGCGUAGAGGCCAAACAUUAUCCGGAAUUACUGGGCGUAAAGAGAUUCGUAGGCGUCUCGACAAGUUUUAUGUUAAAGCCCAAUGCUCAACAUUGGAAGAGCGUAAUAAACUGUCGAGAUUGAGUCAGGCAGAGGGAAACAGAAUUCCAGGUGUAGCGGUGAAAUGCUUUGAUAUCUGGAGGAAUACCGAUUGCGAAGGCAGUUUCCUGGGCCUAGACUGACGCUGGGGCUCGAAAGCGUGGGGAGCAAAACGGAUUAGAUACCCGUGUAGUCCACGCCGUAAACU